GUGCCAGCCGCCGCGGUAAUACGUAGGUGGCGAGCGUUGUCCGGAAUUACUGGGUGUAAAGGGCGCGUAGGCGGGGAUGCAAGUCAGAUGUGAAAUACUGAGGCUUAACCUCAGGGCUGCAACUGAAACUGCGUUUCUUGAGUGUCGGAGAGGAAAGUGGAAUUCCUAGUGUAGCGGUGAAAUGCGUAGAUAUUAGGAGGAACACCAGUGGCGAAGGCGACUUUCUGGACGAUAACUGACGCUGAGGCGCGAAAGCGUGGGGAGCAAACAGGAUUAGAUACCCUGGUAGUCCACGCCGUAAACGAUGGAUACUAGGUGUAGGAGGUAUCGACCCCUUCUGUGCCGGAGUUAACACAAUAAGUAUCCCACCUGGGGAGUACGGCCGCAAGGUUGAAACUUAAAUAAAUUGACGG
rnacentral:rRNA from 1 species